rnacentral:rRNA from 1 species
CAGCAGCCACGGGAAUACAGAGGGUGCGAGCGUUAAUCGGAUUUACUGGGCGUAAAGCGUGCGUAGGCGGCUAAUUGAGUCGGAUGUGAAAUCCCCGAGCUUAACUUGGGAAUUGCAUUCGAUACUGGUUAGCUAGAGUGUGGGAGAGGAUGGUAGAAUUCCAGGUGUAGCGGUGAAAUGCGUAGAGAUCUGGAGGAAUACCGAUGGCGAAGGCAGCCAUCUGGCCUAACACUGACGCUGAGGUACGAAAGCAUGGGGAGCAAACAGGAUUAGAUACCCCAGUAGUCCCUGUCUCUUAUAU